GAUGAACGCUGGCGGCGUGCCUAAUACAUGCGAGUCGAGCGAACAGAUAAGGAGCUUGCUCCUUUGACGUUAGCGGCGGACGGGUGAGUAACACGUGGGUAACCUACCUAUAAGACUGGGAUAACUUCGGGAAACCGGAGCUAAUACCGGAUAACAUUUGGAACCGCAUGGUUCUAAAGUGAAAGAUGGUUUUGCUAUCACUUAUAGAUGGACCCGCGCCGUAUUAGCUAGUUGGUAAGGUAACGGCUUACCAAGGCAACGAUACGUAGCCGACCUGAGAGGGGGAUCGGCCACCCUGGAACUGAGACACGGUCCAGACUCCUACGGGAGGCAGCAGUAGGGAAUCUUCCGCAAUGGGCGAAAGCCUGACGGAGCAACGCCGCGUGAGUGAUGAAGGGUUUCGGCUCGUAAAACUCUGUUAUUAGGGAAGAACAAACGUGUAAGUAACUGUGCACGUCUUGACGGUACCUAAUCAGAAAGCCACGGCUAACUACGUG
rnacentral:rRNA from 1 species